rnacentral:rRNA from 1 species
UCUCCGUAGGGUGAACCUGCGGAAGGGAUCAUUAACGCGCAGGGCCGG